rnacentral:rRNA from 1 species
GGCCCUACGGGGGGCAGCAGUGGGGAAUAUUGCACAAUGGGCGAAAGCCUGAUGCAGCAACGCCGCGUGAGCGAUGAAGGCCUUCGGGUCGUAAAGCUCUGUCCUCAAGGAAGAUAAUGACGGUACUUGAGGAGGAAGCCCCGGCUAACUACGUGCCAGCAGCCGCGGUAAUACGUAGGGGGCUAGCGUUAUCCGGAAUUACUGGGUGUAAAGGGAGCGUAGACGGCCAGACAAGUCAGAAGUGAAAGCCCAGGGCUCAACCCUGGGACUGCUUUUGAAACUGCCGGGCUGGAGUGCAGGAGAGG